rnacentral:rRNA from 1 species
UACGAAGGGGGCUAGCGUUGCUCGGAAUCACUGGGCGUAAAGCGCACGUAGGCGGCUUCUUAAGUCAGGGGUGAAAUCCUGGAGCUCAACUCCAGAACUGCCUUUGAUACUGAAGAUCUUGAGUUCGGGAGAGGUGAGUGGAACUGCGAGUGUAGAGGCGAAAUUCGUAGAUAUUCGCAAGAACACCAGUGGCGAAGGCGGCUCACUGGCCCGAUACUGACGCUGAGGCACGAAAGCGUGGGGAGCAAACAGG